AGAGUUUGAUCCUGGCUCAGGACGAACGCUGGCGGCGUGCCUAACACAUGCAAGUCGAGCGGGGGGAGUUCUUCGGAACGAACCUAGCGGCGGACGGGUGAGUAACACGUGGGUAACCUGCCUCAAAGUGGGGGAUAGCCUUCCGAAAGGAAGAUUAAUACCGCAUAACCCAUGAUUUCCGCAUGGAAGUCAUGGUAAAGAUUUAUCGCUUUGAGAUGGACCCGCGGCGCAUUAGCUAGUUGGUGAGGUAACGGCUCACCAAGGCCACGAUGCGUAGCCGACCUGAGAGGGUGAUCGGCCACAUUGGAACUGAGACACGGUCCAGACUCCUACGGGAGGCAGCAGUGGGGAAUAUUGCACAAUGGGCGAAAGCCUGAUGCAGCAACGCCGCGUGAGUGAUGAAGGCCUUCGGGUUGUAAAGCUCUGUCUUUUGGGACGAUAAUGACGGUACCAAAGGAGGAAGCCACGGCUAACUACGUGCCAGCAGCCGCGGUAAUACGUAGGUGGCGAGCGUUGUCCGGAUUUACUGGGCGUAAAGGAUGCGUAGGCGGAUAUUUAAGUGAGAUGUGAAAUACCCGAGCUUAACUUGGGUGCUGCAUUUCAAACUGGAUAUCUAGAGUGCGGGAGAGGAGAAUGGAAUUCCUAGUGUAGCGGUGAAAUGCGUAGAGAUUAGGAAGAACACCAGUGGCGAAGGCGAUUCUCUGGACCGUAACUGACGCUGAGGCAUGAAAGCGUGGGUAGCAAACAGGAUUAGAUACCCUGGUAGUCCACGCCGUAAACGAUGAGUACUAGGUGUAGGGGGUUCCAUCCUUCUGUGCCGCAGUUAACACAAUAAGUACUCCGCCUGGGAAGUACGAUCGCAAGAUUAAAACUCAAAGGAAUUGACGGGGGCCCGCACAAGCAGCGGAGCAUGUGGUUUAAUUCGAAGCAACGCGAAGAACCUUACCUGGACUUGACAUCCCCUGAAUAGCCUAGAGAUAGGCGAAGCCCUUCGGGGCAGGGAGACAGGUGGUGCAUGGUUGUCGUCAGCUCGUGUCGUGAGAUGUUAGGUUAAGUCCUGCAACGAGCGCAACCCCUAUCAUUAGUUGCUACCAUUAAGUUGAGCACUCUAGUGAGACUGCCCGGGUUAACCGGGAGGAAGGUGGGGAUGACGUCAAAUCAUCAUGCCCCUUAUGUCCAGGGCUACACACGUGCUACAAUGGUGGGUACAGAGAGAUGCAAGACCGCGAGGUGGAGCAAAACUCAAAAACCCAUCCCAGUUCGGAUUGUAGGCUGCAACUCGCCUACAUGAAGCCGGAGUUGCUAGUAAUCGCGAAUCAGAAUGUCGCGGUGAAUACGUUCCCGGGCCUUGUACACACCGCCCGUCACACCAUGAGAGCUGGCAACACCCGAAGUCCGUGAGGUAACCUGCAAAGGAGCCAGCGGCCGAAGGUGGGGUUAGUGAUUGGGGUGAAGUCGUAACAG
rnacentral:rRNA from 1 species